UAUAAGGUGCACAUGCCUCCCCCAACUGAAUCCACGAUGAAACUGUAACCCAGAGCAAAAGCAGAGUACUACAGCCUUCCUUGCCAGUUCCUUGCUGCACCGGCCGAUUGAAUCGCUCAGCCCGUGCUUCUUCUGCGUGUUCCUCCGAUCAUUCCAAGAACCGGAGCUGGAUUUCACUGAUAACUCCUGCGCUCUUUGUUGCAUCUUGUGGCAAUGAGACAGAGUGCUGCCAGUUCUUCCGAUCGCCAUAACCUGUCGCUUCUGCGUGUUUUCGGCCAAGGAAAGUGGGUCCUGAAGAGGGUCUGCACCGGAUAGCUAGCACUCAAGUAUUCCAACCCAAAGUCUUCUAAGAACAAUCCUUGCACCAUCCCCAUUCCAAUCCCAAACACAUAUAUCUGUCACAAAGUUCCUCUUGGUAGCUGGUUCAAAGUUGAAACAACAACCAAGGAAGAGGCACAGAGCAACGAGGAAAUGGCAAGUUCAGUUCAGAGCCAGAGAUCUUCUGGCACCAGUAACCACGUUAUCCUUUCACUCUGCCUGAUCACGACUUGCCUUCUGAACAUAACCACCCUGCCUCUCGCCAUGGAGCAAGGCGGACACAUCCUUCUAUGGGUUAAUCUGGCCGUCGGAUAUCUGCUGGCCAUGGCCUCGUUGUUCUCGACCGAUGCGGAGACUAAGGCAGCAGCGGCGAAGCUGAGUGUUAUCUCAGCUUGGAUUUCCAUGGUUGUGGUGAUGAUGGGAGAACUCAACCGCACACCUCCAUAGGUUCUUAAUGUUCAGGCAUGUCACUGGGUUCAGUUGGAGGCUGAGUUCUUCGGAUGCUUUGGCUUAGUCUAUGGCAAUUCUCCUUGCAGGGGUCCUUCAGCAAAGUGGUCAAUGCAGGUACAUGUACUACCUACGAAACUGGUCUGGGUCUGUAUCAUACUUAUCAAGAAGUAUAGCUGUAUCGCUAUCUGGGUUCAGUAUGUACAGAGUGCAUGUACAUGUACUACGUACGAAACUGGUCUGGGUCUGUAUCAUACUUAUCAAGAAGUAUUGCUGUAUUGCUAUCUGGGUUCAGUAUGUAAGAGGGUUGUAAAGUUUGCUCUUUGCUGGAUAAUAGUAAUACUGUAAAUUAUGCAGCAUUUGUUUCCUUAGAAAUAAAACUGAUAAGAAUCAGAACA